ACUAUGCUUUGGAAUUCAGGGCUAUUCUGGGAGAAUUUGCAAAUCUCUUCACUUUGCAUAUGCAAAACAUACUCCCUCCUAAGAAGUGGGGCUGGCCUGUCAAUGAGUUGGCAGCCUCAGGCAGCAGAUUGGAUAAGGGGGAAGCAGUGCUCCAGCCACCACCUUCCCAGUCACCGCUGAGAGCAGCAAGAAGUGUGAGUUGCUCAGUUUCCUGCUCUCUGCCUUUUUAAGGGGAGGGCAGUGACUGUGAAAAAGAAUGGUGGCAGUGCUUGCUGCUAUCACCACCUCAAGGAACUGCCUGCCCUCCAAGUCUGCCUGUUGUCUGCCAGUUGUGUCACUGUGUAAGCGACUGUUCUGGGUGUCCCUCUUUCCAUCAGGAUGCUCACCUGAAUAGUAAUUUGUUCAGAAAUACAGGCUCUUAAGCAACAAUGAAAGCGAUGUGAAAUCAGUAAGGCUCAGGCAUCUGCCACUGAUCCCAGCAUAAUCUGUUCCUUUAAGCAUCAGUAUAGAAGAAAGAGGUGGUAGGAUCUGCUAGUCAUUUGACUCAGACAGACAUGAAAUACAAUCAUGGUGGUUAAAGGUGGUGACUAUGGAUAUUUCCAGCAGACAUGGUAAUAGCGAAUAUUGAUACCACUGUCCAGUAUUGUGCCCUACAAAGAGAAUUAUGCCAUCAUGGGACAGGAGUGUUGUUGUAACCAGUUCCAUUUAUAUUCUACUCAUCACGAUCCUGCUGUUCUUCUUUGUUUUUGUCUUCCUGUUUGUUUUUAUCUACACAUCCAAUCUUCUCUUUGGCAGCAAGCCUGGCUGAGGAAGCACUGAAUACAAAAUCUCAAAUGCAAAAAUUUAAUAACCUGAAAUCACCAUGAUUGUUUGAGCAUUUAGAUGCAGCACAGAAUCGUAUUUAACAUUAUCAUCCUCCAGCUCUCAGUCUUCAUGUGCUUGGUCUACACAUGCAGAAGAAUGAGGUGAGAGAGUUGACACUACCAUUUCUGAGUGAAGCUUUGUUUUUUAUAGAACGAAAACAAAACAAGUGUUCAUAAUUGUCAGAUGCCAAGAAAAACAAUAUUGAUACUAUCUUUAUUAAAUAUUUGAAGAAAAGAAGAAUGUUAUAUAUAUUUCUACAAAUUUUCUAGACAUAUCUCCAAAGGCAAAUAAUACUAGCUCCACAUCAUCGGCUAGUUGUGUUAAAUUGUGUGUAAUACUGGCCAGAAGGAAAAUUUGCAUAUACUUCUUCAUCAAGAUAAGAGUUCCUGGAAAUAAAUACAUUCAAUUAAUAGCAUUUGACUUAUUAAAAAAUACUUAUUGUCUUUUGAAAUACUUUAAAACAUUAAAAGAUGGCUAUAAAUGUU